GCAGCCGCCGCGGUAAUACGUAGGGUGCAAGCGUUAAUCGGAAUUACUGGGCGUAAAGCGUGCGCAGGCGGUUAUAUAAGUCAGAUGUGAAAUCCCCGGGCUCAACCUGGGAACUGCAUUUGAGACUGUAUGGCUAGAGUGUGUCAGAGGGGGGUAGAAUUCCACGUGUAGCAGUGAAAUGCGUAGAUACGUGGAGGAAUACCGAUGGCGAAGGCAGCCCCCUGGGAUAACACUGACGCUCAUGCACGAAAGCGUGGGGAGCAAACAGGAUUAGAUACCCCAGUAGUCCCUGUCUCUUAUAC
rnacentral:rRNA from 1 species